rnacentral:rRNA from 1 species
GGACAUAUAUAUCUAGCAAGCGUAUGAAAGUGGGAAGAAACAAAAUUACUGGACAGAAAACAGAUUAUUUAAAUCACAAGCACACACACAUAUAUUUAUAUAGCAAAGGUACUUGAGCUAACAUAUGAACUGAAAUUAAACAAGUUCACUGGAAAAUCACAAGCAUAAAUGCCACUGGUACAUAGCUAGCACAGAGACUAACAACUGAACAUCAAUUAGACUAUGGCAAAGUUACUAGUACAGACAGAUUACAGUAGAUGUCAAGAAACAUACACAGGGGAUCACACACAUAUACUAGAAGAUUACUAUAUCACAGAGCAUAUCACACAUACUAAGUAUUAUCCAAACAACUGGACAUUAACUAGUCAGAGCACAUAAUAAAAUGUACUAUAUUUUACAAGUACGAAACUGAACAAUUGUCAGGUUGCAAGCUUUUAUCAAAUUUGAAUAUUACUUGUACUAAACAUCUCAAUGUUGAAUAUUACAAAGUACUGAACAAUAAACUUCUCAAAAUUACAGAAAUUUGAGAUCAGAGAGAGGGAAUAACAGUAGCAAGAUGGUUCAGAAAAGAACAGCAGCAAGGUUAGGAGAAGAAGAAGAACAGCUGGUUAGGAGAAGAAGAAGAAGAACAGCAAUAGGUGAUGCAAGAGAGAGGAGGAGCAGCUUGGGCGUGGGGACGAGCAGCAGUGACUUGGAGAUAAGAAGAAGAACAGCAGCAGCAGGCGAGCUUAGGAACGGGUAGCAGCAGUGGCAUCCGGGUGAGAGAAGCAGCAGUAGGUUGAAGAAGAAGGAGAAGCAACAAGCAGCGGAGGGAAGGAGAAGUAGUAGCAGAGAUUGAGAGAGCAAGCAGCAGCAGGGGCGUGGGAAGAAGAAGCAGCAGCAGGCAGAGAGCAGAAGAAGGAAGAGGGGGUUUGCGAUGGUGGUGGCACACUGGUGGUCUGCGAGAUGGAUCCGAGGCGAAGGAGUUGGGUAGCGCACUCACGCGGGUGACCAGACACUCGCGCCGGAGUGUCUGGUGCGGCGCGUGAGGGAGCGGCUGGUGUGGUGGAUGUAGGCACUGCAGGUAGGAGGAGUAGUGGUGGCGCUGGGUGAUGGAUGGAGGCGGUGCUGGUUGGCGCUGGGUGAUGGAUGGAGGCGGUGCUGGUUGGCGCACCACCACGCCGGCCUGGCCGUGGCGGCGGCCGGUGGUGGAGAAGAUGGGGAGAGGGAUGAGAUGUGCCAGGCCCGAAGGGGAUCGGUGGCUGCGCUAGGGAUUUUGACC